rnacentral:rRNA from 1 species
UACGGAGGGUGCAAGCGUUAUCCGGAUUCACUGGGUUUAAAGGGUGCGUAGGCGGAUAGGUAGGUCCGUGGUGAAAUCCUGCAGCUUAACUGCAGAACUGCCAUGGAUACUAUCUAUCUUGAAUGUCGUGGAGGUUAGCGGAAUAUGUCAUGUAGCGGUGAAAUGCUUAGAGAUGACAUAGAACACCCAUUGCGAAGGCAGCUAACUACGCGAUAAUUGACGCUGAUGCACGAAAGCGUGGGGAUCAAACAGG